UACUUUCAUUAAAAAAAUAAAAUGUGCUUAUUACGAGUUUUUUUAUCGUGUCGUGCUUAACCCAUCUCUAAACGUGUUGUGCUUUUAAGGUCCGCGUGCUUAAAAUUUUAAGUAUGUGCCAUGCCGUGUGCCCCACCGAAAUGUGCUCAUGUCAUGUCGUGCCGUCUAACCUGUUGGCCAUCUGUAACUUGAAUAAAUGAGAAAUUACAUUUCAAAGAGGUUUCAUUAGUUUAUAAAAGUAAAUGGAUUUUUUUUUUGUAUUGUCCUGGAAUUUAUUUGAAAUAAAAUAAAAUAUGAGAUGUGUUGGCAAUGUUAGUCAUAUGUUGUAACUAUUACUGGCUACUUUGUAUGAAGGAAGCAUUCGACUCAAAAUCAUUUAUAAAAGAAAAUUGGAUUAUAACAUAAAGAGAUUAAAGGACUGUUGGGGGAUGAAUGUUAUUGUUUUUCAAAGGAAAAAAUAGCUUAAAAAAUUGUUACAAGUGGUUAAGGGUUGUAAUUAAUUGCAACAAUUACAUGUUGUAUUUCAAAUUAUAAAUUCAGCUUAGAUUCAAAAGUUAGUGCUAUUCAAAAGUUAGUGCCUAACUUUGGGGCCAAAAUGUCCUACAUAAAAUUUAUAAAUUAGUUUUCAAUUUCAUUUGUAAAAUACAUUAAAAUCGAAGAAAUUUUUACUCUUCUCUCUCAAAUAAAUUUUCUUUAACUUUAUUCUUUCGUGUGAUAAAGUUCAAACACCAAUUAGAGUUCACUAAAAUAAUAAAGUUGUCCUUCCAAUACUAUUUGAAUCCAUUGUAUCUGAAGAGACAAACAUCAAUAUAACUUGAGCAAUGUUCAGCAAUAUUUCAAGUGUGCAUGUUACUUAGUAGUAGUGGCUUCUAUAUGUCACAGAAGCCACAAAUUACCUAAGAAGUCUGAAUUUUAAGUACGACUAUUUACAAUCCCUCCAAUAUUUCCUAAGAACUUAACUAACGUAUUUUUAUAAACAACAUGGACCAUUUUAUAUCACUUAGUAAUAGUGGUUUUAUAAUAACAUGAAGUUGGGUCACCUGUCCCCUUGAUAUAAUGUCAUAAUGAUGGUUAUUUGCAGCCAAAAAAAAAAAUUACAAGGCUUUUAGUGAUGAUUCAAAAAUUGAGCUCAGCCAUGGCAAAAUUACAGUACACGUAGUAUGUUUUUAAUGUACUUGUAUAAAUUUAUUUGGACAUAUCUUGAAGUAGCUCAGUAAGUGUAGUAUUAUUGCAUAAGUCUAUCGAAAUCUACUUUGACAUAGCUCUAACUUGAAAAUCCACUCCAAUGAAAGAAAGGUCUCUCUCAAAUAAAGAGGAUUUCAACUAUCCUAAGACAUUAAGAGAAUUAAACCGUUGAACUAACCCCUAAGAAACUCAUAUGGCACGGUGGCAAAAGUUGCACUAGUGGAGUUUAUUCUCUAAAUUUAAUUACCAAUAAGACUUUUCAUCAUAAAGAUCAACUAUUAGAAUAUAUGACCUAAAUGAAUAAUAAAUUUAGGUUGUGUUGCAUUAACAAAAAUUGGGUUGGCUUAUUUUGAAGUUACCUAAAUUCUCAACCAACAGGCUAAAAUAGUGAACUAGGAUAUCGACUUUAAGACCUAUAAACCACUUACCCAAAUCAUGAACAUCGACUAGUUAAACCAACCAUUGAUGUUGCCACUCCACCACCAUCGUCAUCAAUAAAAUCCAACUAAGAUUGUUAAACUUUUAUACUCUUGGCCAUAAACCCCAGUCAUUAUCGCUAUUAGUCAUUGUUGUUUCAUCAACAAUAUUUGCCAAUCUAACCUUACCAUAAGCAUCGGUAUGAAAACAACAUUUUUGUCUCAAAAACUCUCUCUUGACAAAGCAAAGAGAAACUAGAAGACUAUAGUCAUAAAUAUUUCACUAACAAACUUUCUUGAUGAAACCAUAUUUCGUUUUGCUGCUCUUAAAGUUAGCCACAAAAUUGCUUCUUACUAAUUGUUGCUUCUUAUCUACCACAUCAUAGCUAGAAAAGAGAAAAAUUUCAAUCGAGGAGAGAGUUUACCUCUUAGGCUGACUUUUCCUUUAAUUUUUUUUUUAUAAUUUUUCCAGUCUUUGUUAAUGGAUGAUUAACACCAAAAAGGGUACAUUUAAUUAAAAGUGAAAAAUGGGUACAUUUAAUUAAAGUUAAAAUUAUCAUUUUUUUCACUUACGAUGUUGAUAACAUUAACAAUUUUAUUACAUUUACAAAUUCCUAAUUCAUUUUAUAAUUUAUAUUUUUACCUAUUUUUAAGUAUGGUUUUUUGUGUUUUUGUAGGUAAUUCCUAGAUUAAUGAUGCUUAGAUUAGAAAAACAGAAAUGAAAUUUUGAUUUUAGUGACUCAAAAGCCUUUGAAAGAAUUGCUUGCACCUUUAAUCCAACAUUAAUUCUGAACGGCUAUGAUUUUGCCACAGCUCACAUGCACCUUGUUAAACUAGAUUUAACACUCAUCAAUUUAAUAGUUCAAACACCUUAAAAAAUAAGCCAAUAGAUGGUCUCACUUUGACGUUAUUUAUAGCCAUUGAUCCGUUGAUUCUAUAACGAUCCAUAAUUGUUGCAAUUUUAGACCCUUAAAUUGUAUCAUUAAAACUCAUCUAAAGGUUGCGAUUACAAGCUCACUAAAAAUAUCAUGUAAAUGCCCACACUUGAUCAACUCAAACUUUUCUUAUACAAAGGCAAAAGAACUCAAAAAUUUAUGUGGAGAUUAGAGGAGAGAAUUGGAGCAUUUGUAGAGAAAUUAAGUGUAAAUCUAAUCUACAGCAAAUUUUAGGAAAAAAACUCGUCUUCUCGUUUGUUUUUCAAUUUUCUUGUAUUGUAUUUCAUAAAUUUGUUAAAUAAAAUUAUUGUUUUGCUUGUCAUUAUGGGUGAUUUAUUUUCUAAGCUAAGAAUGAGUGUCAAACUCAAGGAUUUAAAUUGUGGAAUUAAUUACUCUCUCAAGUAAGUUAUAAGUUUAUUUUUCUUAAUUACAUGUUUAUAAGUUAUAUUUUCUACAAGUUAUUAUCAUUCCAUGUUAAUCUGUAGAUCUAGAUCCACUUUGGAUCUAUAUGGGUACUUAGAUAUAAUGUCGACACACUAAUAUGACAGUGAUAACACUCUAAUAUGGCUGUGAUGAAAUACAAGUGUGCAACCCAAGAGGGGGGGUGAAUUGGUAUUUUUAAAAAUUAUCCUAACAAAACCACACAACAAUCCAAUCUAACGCCUUAAUAAAAUCGAAAGUAAUAAGUUCAAUAAAAGCACAAUAACAAAUGAGUAAGGGAGAAGAGAAACAAACACGAAUUUUUACGUGGUUCGGCAAUCCCCGCCUACGUCCACACCUCCAAGCAAUCCAAGCUUGAGGAUUUCACUAUGCAAGCCUUCCAAGGCUUCAAAUGGUCACAAUUGACUUCAAGGUGUCAAUGGACCUUUACAACAAAAAGAUUAUCUCCCAAUCUCUUCACUCAAGUGUCUCACACACUCAAAUACUCACAAUUAAGAUGAGGAAUUGAAUAUUACAAUAAAAACUCUCUUAAAGAGUAGAUAUACAAAUUGAAGAACAAAAGAUAAUUCAAGGUUUGAUAAUUUGCGAAAUGAGAGCUCAAUGAAUGUUGUGUGCUUUUUUUUAGGGAAAUUAUCAAUCGUAUACCCUUAGUUUACUCCGUUAUCAAAUUUACUACAACACUUUCAAGGUAUAUUAAUCGUCCACCAUAAGUUGACAAAAUGUAUAUACCGUCCACCAAAUCAUUAGUUGCCGUUUAAACAUGAUAAUGUCAGAAGGGUAAUCUGAUCUUUUCAUUGAUACAAGUGAUAAUUUUAAGGUAUAUAAGUGAUAAUAAGAGAUUUUAAGGGUAUACAAGUGAUAAUUUUUAAGGGUAAAAUCGUCAAUUCGCUACAAUUCCGUUAACUUUCAAACGACAGCUAAUGGUUUAGUGGUCGGCAUAUAACUUUUGUCGAUUUAGGGUGGAUGAUUAAUACACCCUUAAAGUGUUAUAGUAUUUUUAAUAAAAACGCAAAUUUAGGAUAUACGAAUAAUAAUUUCCUUUUUUUUAUUUUGCUUGCAAGAGAGCUUGAAAAUGAAUUAGAUUUGGGUGAUAUCAUAAUUUCAGAAAGUUUUGGUAUUAACAAAUCUUGGUGAUAACCGGCUUACUGUUUAUGGACAUCCAGUUAGCCGCUUAAUGUUACCGUUAUAGCCAAAAUUUGAAUUUUUGAAUAUAUGAUAAUUUUAAAAAAUAAUUCACUGUAGCAGUUAUGUAGCAAGCGGCUAUCCGGAUCAUGAAAAAUGGUAGACUGGAUUUGGGCAGCCGCUUGCUACAUAACUGCUACAGUGAAUUAUUUUUUAAAAUUAUCAUUUUACCCCAAAACUUUAUAAAACUAUAUUAUGGCCUAAAAUGUUAUGAAAGUUUUCAAAUAGGUCCAAUUUCAGAAUUUCUAAAUAAUGAUUUGUUAAUACCAAAACUUUCUGAAAUUAUGAUAUCACCCAAAAUAUAAGAAAUUAUAGAAUAGCCCAAAAUAUUUAAAUAUUAUCAAAUAGGUCCAAAUCUGAAAUUUAAAACAAUAUCAAAGAUUAUAAAAUUCUUUCAUUUUAGUCCACAACAACUUAAUUCCAUAAAAUUAUUUUCUUAUUAAAAAACACAAUACAUAAAUCUUUAUUUAAUCAACACAUGUGGUUUGUUAUCAUUAAAAUCAAUAUCUAUAGUCAUAUAGGCUAACAAUCUCCCCAUUUUUUAUGAUGACAAAACACAUUAUAAAAAUUUAAUCUAGUUAUGAAAAGCUCACUCUUAAUGAAUGCAAGGUUUAAAGACUAAUUUCAAAAAGAUUUAAAAAAUCCCCCUACAUAAGUGCAUAUGAAUAUUUUUCAUAACAAAUGAGUUUCCUAUAUUUUCCCUUUACAUAUUAUAUCUCCCCCUUCAUCAUCAAAAAGAAUAAAAGCUCCCCCUAUCAAUCAUCGAAAUCUCAAUACAGCACAUUAGUCCAAAAAUAUCCAAAGUAUAAGGAAAUAACAUAUCAUCCAUGAAAUAACAAACAAUCAAAACAAUUCCAUAUCAUCCAAAGCAAAUACAUAAUCCAAAAUAAUAACAACCAUCAAUGCAAUCGAAAAUAAAGGAACAUAAUGCAGUAAAUGAAAUGUAGGUGUGUCCAAAUAUAAGCAUAAGAGACUACUGAGGUGGUGAUGGAGGUGGAUACGGAUAUGAAAUGCCGAAGUGCUCAAAGAGGAGGCGUUGUCCAUGAAUGAGCCGUUGCUGCUGCUACUGCUAAAACUCAGUCUGCCACACAGAGAGUGUCUUCACCUCAUCCAUAAGCUAUUGAAGAGUAACCUCUUCAGAAAUAGGAGGCUUGGGAGGUGGCACAAUAGGUGCAGAGACUGCAGGAGUAGAGGUAGACAUUGAAGGAUCACGAUGUCUACGCUGACCCCGAAAUGAAAGCGAAAACAUAGGUAGCUGAUCGGCUGGAACCACAGCAUUAGGCGGUUGAUCAUCACUUGGAGCAAGAAAGGUGAACUUAUUAUCAGUGAACUUUACCCAAGUUCCAUUUUACCACUCAAAACCUAAAGAACUAACAACCUCAACCCCAAUGCUCUUAGAUGGCCUACAUGAUGGUUCACGGAUAGGGAUGCUAAAGUAUUUGAGGAUUCGAGUGAUGAAAUGACCAUACGGAAGGGAACGGGUAUUCAACUUAAGUAUACAAAGCAUGUUUCGGACAAUGGUGUAUCCUAAGUCGACCGGACGACGUCUAAGAAUACAAUCAAUCAAGGCAAGAUCCAAAUGAGAAACCUCAUCCAAAUGGCCUAAUCUAGGAAGCACAAUACUCUGAAUAAAACGAAGUAAUAUCCGAGUUUGAAGACAAAAACAUUGGGUGCAGAAAUGGAUAGUACAAUCAUCAUCCGAAAGGUCAAUACGACGACAUAUAUUCUUAACAGCAUCAAUAUGAACAUAGUGAUUAAUAUUAGGAGAUUUCCUAGGUGAAAAAAUUUGUAGGCCAUCAUCGGAAGUUCCUAGGAUAGAGUUCAACUCCGAAUCAUCAAACUCAACCGAAACUCCUCCAACUUUGGUGAUUACUCGAUUCUCUUUCUCCACGGAAGAAUCCAUAUUCGAGUAAAACACUUUCACCAAGUCAGGAUAUACAUUUUCCUAAAAAACAAGUGCAUUAAUCCAACCAACAUCUUUCAACAAUUGUAAUAAAGUUCUAUUACUAAUGAUAAGACUAUUCAACUAAUCUGGUAAAAUGAAGAAAGUUUGGAGUACCUCUCGAGUCAUGAAUUGUUGGUGAAAUCAUUUGACUAAAUGCUUGGUUGGGAAAUGCGUGGACUCAAAGGAAGACUGAUUGGAGGUGCCCCCUGCUUGCCGUGAGCGUUUGGUGGGUUGAACCGGUUCUUUGCCUUUUCCAUGAACCGGCCAUGAGCUUGACAUGGUGAGUUUGUUUGAUUUGAAGUGAAAUAAGGCAAUGAGAAGGAAGAUGGUGAGGAUUGAAAUGAAUAUUGAGGUUCAAUUCGGAUUAAAACUAGCUUAAGAGGAAAGAAUUUAGAGAGAGAAAGUUUUAUUUGAAAACCUAGAUGAGAUUCGGAUCUAAUGAGUUUGAUGGUGAAAAUGGUUUUUAAAGAUGAUUUUUGACUCAAGAGUAAAUGGGAAAUAAGAUUUAUGAAUUGAUUUGGAUUGGAAAUGAAUGAAAAUGAUGAAUUUUAGAGUAAGAAAUAGAGAAAAUGGAAACGACUUUUAGAGAGAGGAAGAACCGAUUUACCGAAAGAGGAAGAUGAAGAUGAAUAGUUCAUAUAAGCGCGAAUCCGGUUAACCAGAUGUCACUAACCAGUUAGCCGGUUGUGGUCCAGUGAGUGUGCAACGUGAUUUCGGGUUUCCAAUUUACAUAACCGGUAAUCCGGUUAAGUCCAAUGAUAAAUGGACAUGAAUUCGGUUAUCCGGAUAUGCCUAACCGGUUAACCGGUUGGAGGCAGCAAGCAAGCAACGCGAAUCCGGUUUGCCGGAUCUCAUAACCGGCUAUCCGGUUGUGUCUAGCAAGCAUCAAACCAAAUCUGAUUUUUUGGAUUUCAUAACCGGCUGACCGGUUCUUUCCAGAAACCAAAUUCUCUUCAAACGAUUUACUUGUUUUCCAAUCCGGUUAUCCAGAAUAUGACUCAAAGAAUAAUCAAUAAGAAGAACGAUUUUCCGGUUGAUUAGAAGAGGUUUAUUGGUUAAACUAUGGAGAAUAUUUUUGAAGUUUAGUAAACUCUUAGACUUGUAUUACACACAACAAUUUAUUUUUGGCUUAAAAAUUGAUCAAUUUUUAAAUCAUUUUGAGAUUCAAAAUUUUUUAAUAAGCCAUUUAAUUCAUGACACAUAAAUUCAUAAAAUAAAAAACAUAUCAAGCUAUUUAAUUCAUGAAGCAUAAAUUCAUACAAUAACGAACAUAUCAACUUAAUCAACAAAUCAAGAUUCAAGAUGCAACAUUCAUCAUUCUAAGCUUAUAUCUUAUCUUUAUAAAAUGCUCUUCACUAAUAGGUUUUGUAAAGAUAUCCGCAAGUUGAUUUUCAGUAGAAACAAAUUUAAUCACAACAUCUCUCUUUUGAACAUGAUCUCCAAGAAAAUGAUGUCUAAUUUCUAUAUGCUUAGUCCUAGAAUGUUGAAUAGGAUUCUUGGAUAAAUUAAUAGCACUAGUGUUGUCACACAAUAUAGGUAUUUGAUCAAGAUUAAUAUUAUAGUCUCUAAGGGUUUGUUUCAUCCAAAGGGUUUGCGCACAACAACUACCAACGGCUAUAUAUUCGGCCUCGGUGGUUGAAAGUGCAACCAAGUUUUGUUUCUUACUAAACCAAGAGACAAGUGAAUGACCUAGGAAGUGACAUGUUCCACUAGUACUUUUUCUUUAUAACCGGUAAAGUUGGCAUCCAAAUAACAAGUUAAGUUAAUAUGAGUUCCCUUAGGAUACCAAAGGCCAAGAUUGAUGGUGCCAAUCAAAUAUUGAAAAAUUCGUUUCGGACAAGAUUGAAAUCUAGCACACAAGCAUACACUAAACAUAAUAUCAGGCCUACUAGCAAUCAAAUAGAGUAAGGAUCCGAUCAUACCUCGAUAAGUCAUGAUGUCAACUUCCUUACCUUUCUCAUCUUUGUCCAACUUGAUGGUAGUACUCAUUGGAGUGCUUUUUGUCGUUCCAUUAUCAUAGCCAAAUCUUUUGAGUAGAUCUUUCACGUACUUGACUUGAUUUAUGAAAAUUUCUUCCUCGUUUUGUUUGAUUUAAAGUCCAAGGAAGUACUUCAACUCUCCCAUCAUACUCAUCUCAAAUUCUUUGCUCAUACAAGAUGAAAAUUCUUUACACAUAAUUCAUUAGUAAAACCAAAAAUAAUGUCAUCAACAUAAAUGUGAACAAUAAAUGUAUCUUAAUUCUUAUGCUUAACAAAUAGAGUUGUGUCCGCUUUUCCCAUAGAAAAAUCGUUAUCUAACAAGACAUUUUUAAGCCUAUGAUACCAUACUCUAGGUGUUUAUUUUAGUCCAUACAAUGCCUUAGAUAACUUAUACACAUGAUCUGAAAAUUUUUCAUUUUCAAAACUAGAGGGUUGUUUCACUUACACUUCCUCCAUAAUAUAACCAUAUAAUAAAGUACUCUUGACAUCCAUUUGAUAUAAAAUAAAAUCUUUAUGACAUGCAAAAGCUAAGAGCAUUCUAAUGGAUUCUAGUCUAGCUAUAGGUGCAAAUGUUUCAUCAAAAUCAAUUCCCUCUUCUUGGUUGUAACCUUGAGCCACUAAUUUAGCUUUAUUUCUUACAAUCACACCGGAUUCAUCCAUUUUGUUUUUAAAUACCCAUUUAGUACGUAUGAUGGAUUGAUGUUUCAGAUUAUGAACUAAUUCUCAUACAUUGUUUCUCUCAAAUUGAUUCAAUUCCUCUUGCAUUGUCAUAAUCCAAGAUUCAUCAUUUUUCGCAUCCGCAAAGGAUUUUGGUUCAGUUUGAGAAAUAAAUGCAGCAUGCUCACAUCUGUUCCUAAGACAUGAUCUAGUUGUAACACCUCGUGAGGGUUCUCCUAAAAUUACAUCCUUGAGGUGAGAAGAAAUAUACCCCUAUUCCUUGUGGAGUGUUUGAGAAGUACCUUCAUUUUGCUUUGUAUUUGUUUCUUCAUGAUGUCCUCUUGAAUUCCAUGCGGUGCAUCUUUUUUGUUGUCAUUUAAUGCUUUUUCUUGUUGUUCUUCUUCUGCAUUAUCAUCAACAACGACUUUCUCCGUGGAGGAGGGGUUAGACUCAUUAAAUGUAACAUGCAUAGAUUCUUCCACAACCAAAGUUCUUUUAUUAUAAAAUCUCUAAGCUUUACUUGAGUUUGAAUAACCAAGAAAAAUACCAACAUCAGAUUUUGGAUCAAAUUUACCAAGAUUAUCUUUUGUGUUUAAAAAAAAACAUUUGCAUUUAAAGACUUUAAAAUAGCCAAUAUUGGGUUUUCUAUCUUUCCAAAACUCAUAUGGAGUUUUAUUAAGAUUAGCCUUAAUCAACACACGAUUCAAAACAUAACAAGCGGUGUUGACUGCUUCGGCUCAAAAAUACUUAGGCAAAGAAUUUUUAUUCAACAUGGUCCUAGCCAUUUCUUGAAUAGACUUAUUUUUUCUCUUUAUAACUCCAUUUUGUUAAGGACUCCUAGGUGAUGAAAAUUGAUGCUCAAUGCCAAAAUCAUUACAAAAGUUCUCACAAGCAUAAUUUUUAAAUUUUCCACCAUGAUCACUUCUAAUACAAGAAAUACUACAUCCCUUUUCAUUUUGAACCUUUUUACAGAAAACGUUAAAAGCAUCAAAGGCAUCAUCUUUAUUAGCUAAGAAUAAUACCCAUGUGUAUCUGGAAUAAUCAUCUACAAUUAUAAACGCAUAAUAUUUGCCAUUUAAACUAGCAUAUCUAGAAAGUCCAAACAAGUCUAUGUGAAGUAGUUGAAGUGGUUUUGAAGUAGAAAUGUUUUUCUUGCUUUUGAAAGAAGUUUUGAUUUGUUUUCUAAAUUGGCAAGCUUCACAAAUUCCAUCUUUUUGAAAACUGAUUUUUGGAAGACCUUUAACCAAAUCAUUUUUCACGAUUUUUGAAAUCAAAUCCAUGCUUGCAUGACCUAAUCUUCUAUGCCACAACCAACCAUCAUCGUGCAAUGUGGAGAAACAUUUAUCAUUUGUAGGUGCACAAUCUAUAUUAAUGGUAUAGACAUUAACACAUCUAUUACCUACAAACAAAACUUUCCCAUCACAUGUAUUCUCAAUAACACAUUUUGAUUCAUCAAAGAUAACUUUAUAUCCUUUAUUACAUAAUUGACUAAUACUAAGCAAGUUGUGUUUUAAGUUUUCAACCAAACACAUAUUUUCAAUGAGAGUUGAGGAUACAUUACCGACAUUGUCAAUGCCAAUGAUUUUUCAUUUUAAAUUAUCUCCAAACGAUACAUCUCCACCAUUUUCAAUCUUGGUAAAACUUGAAAACCAAGAAUAAUUCCUUGUCAUGUGUCUUGAACAACCACUGUCCAAGUACCACUUAUUCUUCUUCUUCUUCAAGCCCUGUAGAGAAAAUCUCAAGUUUUAGGUACCUAAACCUUUUUGGGUCCUUGAGAGUUAGCAAUGGUUCAUUUCGGAACCCAAAUACAUUUCACACCAUAAUAUGCAUUUCUCUUCACUGGACAUCUAUUUUUCAUAUGACCAUCUUGAUUACAAUAAUGACAUACAAUUUGAUUGUUAAUAAAUGUAUUCUUCGUAAAAUAACUCUUGUAAUACUUUUGUUUUAAAUUUGACUUAUAACCAAUGCCUCCUUUGUCAAAUACACAUUUUUGUGAGUUUAGCAAGUUAUCCAACAUCUUUUGUCCAUUUGUGAAUUUUAGCACAAUCUCAUUUAGUUCAUUGCUCUUCUUUCUAAGCAUUUCAUUUUCAUUUUUCAAGUCAUUCACAUGUGACUCUAAGUGCUCAUGUGAAGUGUAGAAUUCUCAAAUAAUGCAACUCUAUCAUGCAAUGUUUUAUUCUCAAAUUAUAGGCAUGUAAUCUUUGCACUAAAUGGUUCAUUUUUAUUUUUAAGCUCUAUCAUUUUCUUUUUAAGACAUAUAUUAUUUUUACCAAUCUUCAUCAAUUCAUCAUGCAAAUCCUUAAAGACAUCAUGUAAUUCAUCAUAUGUAGGAAGAACACUUACCUCAUCAAGUUCAUUACAUGAUUCUUCCCUAAAGGCCAUGAGAGCUAAAUUAGUCAUCUCUUGUUACUCUUCAUCAUCGCUUGUUUCCUCAUCACUAUCAUCCCACGUGGCCACCAUAGCUUUCUUCUUGAGUUUGUUGAGGAAAGGACGUUCCGGUCAUAUGUGUCCAGGCUUCUUGCAUUCAUAGUAAGUGAUUGGCUCUUUCUUCUCCUUUUUAUUCUUGUAGCCUCUGAACUUUCUCUACUCAUUAUUUUUCUUGUAAAAUUUUUUGAAUCUUCUAGCCAACGUUGCUAACUCCUCAUCAUCCAUUUCGCUUUCCUCAUCACUCUCAAGUUUUGAGGCCUUGAGAGCAAUGCUUUUCUUUUUUUCCUCAUACCAUUUUUUCUGCUGCCAAAUCUUCUUCAUAUGAAAUGAGAGAAUCAAUUAAAUCAUUAAUAGGUAAGACAUUUAGAUCUUUGGCUUCCUCAAUAGCAGUCCUUUUUUGUCUCAAUUCCUUAGGUAGCGACCUAAUGAUUUUCUUAACUUUCUCGCUAUUAGAAAAAGUUUUUUCUAGGGCUCCUAAAGUGUUCACUAUGUCCGUAAAUCUAGUAUACAUAGAAUAUACACUCUCAUUUUGUUCCAUUUGGAACAACUCAUAUUGUCGAGUGUACCUACUUAUUUUAGAUUAUUUCACUUGAUUCAUGCCUUCAUAACAAACUUUAAGUUUGUGCAAAAUUUCGUUAGGACUUUCGCAACUAGACACUCUAUAAAACUCUUUCUUAUCUAGUGUACAAAAUAAGGCAUUCAUAGCUUUGGAAUUUAGAUAAGCUUUUCUCUUUUCAAAUUCAUUCCAUUCCAGUGAAGGUUUUGGAAUAUCUUCCCCGACUUCAUUUUUAGUCAAAAGCAUGAAAGGACCAUCAUUAACGAUUUCCCAAAUUUCGUAAUCUAAAGCUUGCAAGUAAAUUCUCAUCCUAGUUUUUCAAUACGGGUAAUCGUUUCCAUCAAAAUAAGGUGGUCUAGUGGUGGACUGUCAUUCCCUAAAUGUGGAAUCAUUUUGAGUUGCCAUUAAUCUUUAACUCUAGAUGGUUAAGCCUAAACAAGAGCACCUUGCUCUGAUACCAAAUAAAAUACAAGUGUACAACGCAAGAGGGGGGCGAAUUGAUAUUUUUAAAAAUUAUUCUAAUAAAACCACACAACAAUCCAAUCUAACGCCUUAAUAAAAUCGAAAGCAAUAAGUUCAAUAAACGCACAAUAACAAAUGAGUAAGGGAGAAGAGAAACAAACACACGAAUUUUUACGUGGUUUGGCAAUCCCCGUCUGCGUCCACGCCUCCAAGCAAUCCAAGCUUGAGGAUUUUACUAUGCAAGGCUUCAAAUUGUUACAAUUGACUUCAAGAUGUCAAUUGACCUUUACAACAAAGAGAUUAUCUCCAAAUCUCUUCACUCAAGUGCCUUACACACUCAAACACUCACAAUUAAGAUGAGGAAUUGAAUAUGACAAUAAAAACUCUUUUAAAGAGUAGAUAUACAAAUUGAAGAACAAAAGAUGAUUCAAGAUUUUAUGAUUUGCGAAAUGAAGAACAACAGUCAAUGAAUGUUGUGUGUGUGUUUUUUUUUUUUUUUUCACUUGCAAGAGAACUUGAAAAUGAAUUGGAUUUGGGUUUAUAUAGUUUGAGCUCAAAUACUAGCCAUUAUGCACAUUUUGGUGAUAACCGGCUUACCAUUUAUGGACAUCCGGUUAGCCGCUUAAUGUUACCGUUAUAGCCAAAAUUUGAAUUUUUGAACAUCCGGUAUGCCGCUUGUGAAAUCCAAAUAGCCGUUUAAGUUCCAAAAGCUUUCUGCCCAAAUCCAGUCUACCAUUUGUCAUGAUCCGGAUAGCCGCUUGCUACAGUAACUGCUACAGUGAAUUAUUUUUUAAAAUUAUAGUUUGACCCUAAAACUUUAUAAAACUAUAUUAUGGCCCAAAACAUUAUGAAAGUUUUCAAAUAGGUCCAAUUUUAGAAUUUCUAAAUACUGAUUUGUUAAUCCCAAAACUUUCUGAAAUUAUGAUAUCACCCAAAAUAUGUGAAAUUAUAGAAUAACCCAAAAUAUUUAAAUAUUAUCAAAUAGGUCCAAAUCCGAAAUUUAAAACAACAUCAAAGAUUAUAAAAUUCUUUCAUUUUAGUCCACACAACUUAAUUCCAUAAAAUCAUUUUCUCAUUAAAAAUCACAAUACAUAAAUCUUUAUUUAAUCAACACAUGUGGUUUGUUAUCAUCAAAAUCAAUGUCUAUAGCCAUAUAUGCUAACAUGUGACACAUUAUAUACUUAAUCCCCAUAUUUAUCUAUCGAGUAAUUAGUUAAAACCUAAGCCACAUAAUAUUCAAACUAAUAAAAGAAAUGUAAAAUAUAAAUAUGAGAAAGUAGUAUGACCAUGAUUUGAAUACCAAGAGUGAAUCUCGUAACUUUAGCACUAUUUGUUUUUUAAUUUAAACUAUUCCUUCUUAAUUUCUUUUUUAUAAUUAUUUUUAUUUAAUAAUUGACUACUAGAUUUUUUUAAUUCCCUACGUUUUGACCCUAGAAUGGAGUUGCUAUUAUAUGUAUUAUGAAUGAAUUCUCGUGUUGCAAAUGGUUAUGUCAACCUCGAUGGUGAUGCAUUGAGGUUUCAAUUGGCUAGGAGUUCAGUUCGUUGUGCAAAUAGCUUCACUAUUUUGUUAAUUAAUAAUUUUAAAAAAUCAUUUCCUUACAGUCAACUAUAAAAAUUUACUUCUUAAAAAUUGAAAUCAAAAUUUGAAUUUCCAAUAAGGUUUCUUGAAUUUCCGUGGUUGGUAAUAAAUUGUUCUUAAUAGUUUUUCACAAGAUUGAUAUCUUUGUAGUAAAUUAUUUUAUUAAAGCAAAGGAGUUUAGGGCUUGUUUAGCAUUUUUUUUUUAAAUAGGCUCAAAUGUCAUUUUGAAAAGCUAAAAGUUAAAUUUGGUGUUUGCUAAAUUUUUAAAAAAUCAUUCCAUCCUACGAUAGAUUCUAAAAGGCAAGAAAAUAAUAGAUUUCCAAAAUAUGAUUUUGAGAAUCAGUUUUAUAUUAAUUAUCAUUUCAUAUAUAUCCUCACAUAUAUUAUAAAAA
rnacentral:lncRNA from 1 species